rnacentral:rRNA from 1 species
UGGGGAAUUUUGGACAAUGGGCGAAAGCCUGAUCCAGCAAUGCCGCGUGUGUGAAGAAGGCCUUCGGGUUGUAAAGCACUUUUGUCCGGAAAGAAAUCCUUGGCUCUAAUACAGUCGGGGGAUGACGGUACCGGAAGAAUAAGCACCGGCUAACUACGUGCCAGCAGCCGCGGUAAUACGUAGGGUGCAAGCGUUAAUCGGAAUUACUGGGCGUAAAGCGUGCGCAGGCGGUUUGCUAAGACCGAUGUGAAAUCCCCGGGCUCAACCUGGGAACUGCAUUGGUGACUGGCAGGCUAGAGUAUGGCAGAGGGGGGUAGAAUUCCACGUGUAGCAGUGAAAUGCGUAGAGAUGUGGAGGAAUACCGAUGGCGAAGGCAGCCCCCUGGGCCAAUACUGACGCUCAUGCACGAAAGCGUGGGGAGCAAACAGGAUUAGAUACCCUGGUAGUCCACGCCCUAAACGAUGUCAACUAGUUGUUGGGGGAUUCAUUUCCUUAGUAACGUAGCUAACGCGUGAAGUUGACCGCCUGGGGAGUACGGUCGCAAGAUUAAAACUUCAAAGGAAUUGACGGGGUCAUAGCUGUUUCCU